UCCCCUUGUCAUAUCCCCCUGCAGACCAAGACUGGUUACUCACUGAAGCUAAGCAGGGCUGAGCCUGGUUAGUGCAUGAAUGGGAAACUACAUGGGUAAACUUGGUUGCUGUUGGAA
rnacentral:rRNA from 1 species